GAGCAAUGAUGAAAAAAAAGUUUUACUACUUCCUUUAUAACUGUGAAGGGAUUCUACACUGGAACUGAGCUCA